AAGCUGCAAGUGCUUUCUAUGAAAGUCUGAUACGGGUCCCCCUAAACUUCUGUUAGAAUGGUGGGAAACAUUGCUCCUGUGAGAACAGUAUAGUGGACUUCAUCGCCACUGACCCACAUUUAUUAGGGUGUGACACGAACUUGUGGACAGAGUACCGAGCUGCUGCUUUGCCAAGUGGAUUUCUGGCUGCGGGCAGAGGACCCGACACAUCAGUGUGUUUUAAUUUGUUUUAAACUGGUGUAAUUCGACAGACUGACUGCUGCGGCUGUUGAUUGUUUUGUUUUUUUUGUUUUAUUUUUCUGUAUCAGUAGGCACCACAGAUAUUGAUUCUUUUAGUAUUUUAACCCUUUUUUUAAAUAUAUAUAUAUAUAUAUAUGUAGUUGCGGACGGUGAAGGCGCUGCGUGGAAAGCAAAUCCUUUUUUUGUCUCGCCGCUUUUGCAUGCACAGCGGUGGGCCUGAGUGAAGACGGCACUGAAGAUUUGCCUUUUUCUAUAGUGUUUUGCCCAUUUGGGGUCAUGUGUGAGUUGUGUUAAGGUUCAUUUUAAGUAUAGAGAGGUGGAGGAGAUCGGAAUAACACACUGUCCCUGCCAGGUGGAGUCAAAUGAUGAUUUUAAUGAAACGUGUGGGAGAAUGAGCUGACCCUGUACGCAGACAGGAGGCCCCAGUGGCAGACCCAGGACACGCUGGAGAGAUUAUAUGUCUUGGUUGGCCUGGGAACGCCUUGAUGUUCCCCCGGACAAGCUGGAGGAGAUGGCUGGGGAGAGGGAGGUCUGGCCUCUCUGCUUAGGCUGCUGAACCCACAACCCAGACCCAGAUAAGCGAACAAAGAUGGAUGAAUGGAUAAAUAAUGAAAAAAAAAUCCACUUUAGGUCAAUAUGACACUACAAACUGCAUUCACUGCCCUCAGGUAACCUCAGAAUCUGUUUUGGGGCAAAUUGUGUGUUAGAGUGGAAAGUCAAAUUCCCGAGUCCCAGAAGCUCUGAUGUUUACAAGACCCAGCAACCUUUUCUCCCACAAAGGACGGAUGAUAUUUUAGGAGAACAAUGGAGCCAACUCUUAGGUGGUUGCCAUUUUUCAAGUGGUCUUAAAUUUUUCUCAAUCAGCUCCAGGUGAGGGAGUCUGUUGGCCCUGCCCAUGGGUGGAUACGAGGGAAGCUUAGGCACCAAGUGCAAUCUUACAGUCAAUUACCCAGGCCAUAACAGUUUUGUCUGCAGAAACUGGGUUUUUCUUGGUCUGCACAGCUGAAGUCCAUUUAUGUGUACAGUUCUAGUAAUUUCCUUUUUUGAGACUUUGUGACUUGGCGAAGUGAUUCACUAGUGUCUUGGCAGUUGUUGUGUGUUGAUUAGACACAUCUCUCAAUUUUCGAAUCUUUUGCUUCAAUGGGGCUGGGGUCUUUUUCAAUCCGGAGCGUGGGUGUUCAAACUUCCUGCUCUGACUUGACCUCAGGAUGUAGAGACAAGAAUCAAGUGCACCCAAAAGGAAUAAGCGCAUCAGUGGUCAUGUGCUCAGCACGCAGAGGGGAGACCAUCGCAUUUGGUUUUGUAUGAUUAAGUGUGCGUUAACGAACCUGUAAGCGUUAUUCCCUUUGACAGGUUAGCGGGUAUGAUAAGGGCUAUAAUUGUGCAUGUUAAAGUUAUGCCUCGGUAUAUUGAUACCAUGUUGGUAGGAUUAUUUAAUUAUUUAGUACUAAGUUAAUAGUAUGAUGAUUACAUCCAGUGGAUAAAGGACUUUUCUAUUGUUUAUUGUUUAGUUUAACUGUUGCUAGCUUGCCAUGUUCAUGCUUUACUAUUAACAACUUAUAUGACAGCUGCUAUUUAGCCAAUUUAUGGUCAACAGUGACCCCAAGCAGCUACCUGAAUGCUAUUCCAACAGAGGUCGAUAAUCUUGUUAAUAAUUGUACCUCACUACGUACAACUCUUGAUACUGUAGCUCCUGUAAAAAGUAAGGCCUCAAAAGAGAAGUACUUAAUUCUCAAACACGUAACCUAAAGCAGAUAACUCGUAAGCUGGAGAGGAAAU